rnacentral:rRNA from 1 species
GGGUUGUGAGGUUAAGCGACUAAGCGUACACGGUGGAUGCCCUGGCAGUCAGAGGCGAUGAAGGGCGUGCUAAUCUGCGAUAAGCGCCGGUAAGGUGAUAUGAACCGUUAUAACCGGCGAUACCCGAAUGGGGAAACCCAGUGUGUUUCGACACACUAUCAUUAACUGAAUCCAUAGGUUAAUGAGGCGAACCGGGGGAACUGAAACAUCUAAGUACCCCGAGGAAAAGAAAUCAACCGAGAUUCCCCCAGUAGCGGCGAGCGAACGGGGAGGAGCCCAGAGCCUGAAUCAGCAUGUGUGUUAGUGGAAGCGUCUGGAAAGGCGCGCGAUACAGGGUGACAGCCCCGUACACAAAAGCGCAUGUGCUGUGAGCUCGAUGAGUAGGGCGGGACACGUGGUAUCCUGUCUGAAUAUGGGGGGACCAUCCUCCAAGGCUAAAUACUCCUGACUGACCGAUAGUGAACCAGUACCGUGAGGGAAAGGCGAAAAGAACCCCGGCGAGGGGAGUGAAAAAGAACCUGAAACCGUGUACGUACAAGCAGUGGGAGCACAGGUUUACCUGUGUGACUGCGUACCUUUUGUAUAAUGGGUCAGCGACUUAUAUUCUGUAGCAAGGUUAACCGAAUAGGGGAGCCGGAGGGAAACCGAGUCUUAAUUGGGCGUUAAGUUGCAGGGUAUAGACCCGAAACCCGGUGAUCUAGCCAUGGGCAGGUUGAAGGUUGGGUAACACUAACUGGAGGACCGAACCGACUAAUGUUGAAAAAUUAGCGGAUGACCUGUGGCU